CGGUAACUCACGGGGUGCGCACAGUAAGCGCUGAGAGUAAGCAUGGCUUAAAACCCGUAGACCUGAUCCAGAUAAUGCUGGCGUAGGGAUUGAGCAGUCAAUAGAUA
rnacentral:ncRNA from 1 species